rnacentral:rRNA from 1 species
AGAGUUUGCUUCUGGCUCAGGACGAACGCUGGCGGCGUGCCUAAUACAUGCAAGUCGAACGCACUCUCGUUUAGAUUGAAGGAGCUUGCUCCUGAUUGAUAAACAUUUGAGUGAGUGGCGGACGGGUGAGUAACACGUGGGUAACCUGCCCUAAAGUGGGGGAUAACAUUUGGAAACAGGUGCUAAUACCGCAUAAAACCUAACACCGCAUGGUGUAGGGUUGAAAGAUGGUUUCGGCUAUCACUUUAGGAUGGACCCGCGGUGCAUUAGUUAGUUGGUGAGGUAAAGGCUCACCAAGACCGUGAUGCAUAGCCGACCUGAGAGGGUAAUCGGCCACACUGGGACUGAGACACGGCCCAGACUCCUACGGGAGGCAGCAGUAGGGAAUCUUCCACAAUGGACGAAAGUCUGAUGGAGCAACGCCGCGUGAGUGAAGAAGGUUUUCGGAUCGUAAAACUCUGUUGUUGGAGAAGAAUGUAUCUGAUAGUAACUGAUCAGGUAGUGACGGUAUCCAACCAGAAAGCCACGGCUAACUACGUGCCAGCAGCUGCGGUAAUACGUAGGUGGCAAGCGUUGUCCGGAUUUAUUGGGCGUAAAGCGAGCGCAGGCGGUUUCUUAAGUCUGAUGUGAAAGCCUUCGGCUCAACCGAAGAAGUGCAUCGGAAACUGGGAAACUUGAGUGCAGAAGAGGACAGUGGAACUCCAUGUGUAGCGGUGAAAUGCGUAGAUAUAUGGAAGAACACCAGUGGCGAAGGCGGCUGUCUGGUCUGUAACUGACGCUGAGGCUCGAAAGCAUGGGUAGCAAACAGGAUUAGAUACCCUGGUAGUCCAUGCCGUAAACGAUGA